rnacentral:rRNA from 1 species
ACUUUAAUUGAAGAGUUUGAUCAUGGCUCAGAUUGAACGCUGGCGGCAGGCCUAACACAUGCAAGUCG